rnacentral:rRNA from 1 species
GUGGGGAAUAUUGGACAAUGGGCGCAAGCCUGAUCCAGCAAUGCCGCGUGCAGGAAGAAGGCCUUCGGGUUGUAAACUGCUUUUGUCAGGGAAGAAAUCUUCUGGGCUAAUACCCCGGGAGGAUGACGGUACCUGAAGAAUAAGCACCGGCUAACUACGUGCCAGCAGCCGCGGUAAUACGUAGGGUGCGAGCGUUAAUCGGAAUUACUGGGCGUCAAGCGUGCGCAGGCGGUUUUGUAAGACAGGCGUGAAAUCCCCGGGCUCAACCUGGGAAUUGCGCUUGUGACUGCAAGGCUGGAGUGCGGCAGAGGGGGAUGGAAUUCCGCGUGUAGCAGUGAAAUGCGUAGAUAUGCGGAGGAACACCGAUGGCGAAGGCAAUCCCCUGGGCCUGCACUGACGCUCAUGCACGAAAGCGUGGGGAGCAAACAGGAUUAGAUACCCCUGUAGUCC